GAAACCAGGGAGUCCAUCUUUUAUGCUCUUCCAUUGACUUAUCUCCCUUGGGUAAGAUCUCAAACAUGUCAGCUCCCAGUGAUGGUUUGGCAGACAAAUGUUUUCAGUGAAGUUUGUGACUUUAAAAUUCUAGGAUGAGCAUGUGGGCUAUCCCAGCCUUAUACAUCUACAUAUUACAAACUAUUUAAGAUAUCUGAAUGCACUAAAGACCAAAAUAGCAUUUCCAAAAAAAAAAUAAUUAAAAUGUACUGCCAAGAAAUUUGACAAUCAUGACAAUAAUUUAGUGAAUAAACAUGAUACAUAUUGAUUGGAAAAAUAAUUCCAUGAACAGCAAAAAGUGUUUUUAGAUUUCAACGAGCAAAACAAAAGUAUUCUAAAUCAUUCUUCGUAAAAAAAAAGGUGAGUGAGUGGAACCACCUUGCUCGCACCAAAAUUGAGAUUGAGAGUGUCAAAACUGCUCUGGCGCACCAUCAAUAAAUCAACGACACUCUCUCUACCGUGGUAUUGAAACCAGCAUUGGUAACCAAACAUAUUCAUACAGAUACAGACUACCAUUCAUCUACAUUUAGGAAGUCUGAAUAAUACUGAAAACUAUGGUGUAGAAUUUCCAACAGGACUCCUUAUUUUAUAUAAGACAAGGAGUGGUUUAUUUUCCCAUGGUUGUUACAUCAUCUUGUCUUUGAAUAUGCUUGAAGUACAGGGACUUUUAUGGAAUUCAUUGACAUGAUAGUCAAGCAAGAUGUCAACAUCUCAUCCAACCCUCUUCCAGCAAAGCCAAAGCUGACCAAGGAUCUUCACCCUUUCAAAACAGGCUGUAUACAGGACGAGUUAUUCCAGUAGGAACAGGGCUAUAUAUAUGCAAGCAAUGCUCAAUUAAGAUGAAUUUUUGUAAAAGUGACAAUAGCCAGGUCAAACUAAAUACAUGUAUAGAAGAAGAUAUUGAUCUAGACUUGCAUCUAACCUUUCUGUCAGUGUCAACAACAACUGAACUUUCACAGCAGUCAACAUCAGAUUGGGAGACUGAUAAUGCUUCUAACAGAAACAAUUUCAACCAACCAAACAAGCAACAGAAACUUUCCAACUUUAAAACAUCAGUUAAAUCUUCCAUGGGAUGAUGUCUCAAAAAAUAACAGUUCAUCAUUUAUGGAGAUUUUAAUGUUAUGGUUUUUCUAUUACAAGAAAGUUAAUGUACACUUGUUUUAUAGUAAAACCUAUAGCCGUUCAAGUAUAAAAAAACACAUUCAACUUUAUUGAAAUUUGAAGAUUCAUAUGACUUAUUUUAAUUCUUUUAUCUCCGAGGAUGUGAUGUAGAGCUUUAUAGGUACAGUAAUCUUAACAGCUAUCCAAUUUCAUUUAAAAUUCUUUAUAAAUUUUGCACUGGUAUAUAUAGACUAAGUAAUUUGUUUUUCGUCUAGUUAUGGGAUUUUUUUUUAGAAGCAUUUAUGAUUUUCAUGUUUGUAUUGACCACAUUGCAGCAACAUAGAUAUAGGUACCUGGCAAAUCUUGCCUUGUUAGCAUACUAGGCUCAAAGGGGCAUAAAAAAAUUUCCAUCAACAAGUGUCUGUUAAAAUCAGCUGUUUCCAGUUUUCACUUUUAAACCAUCAUCUUAAUAACUUUAGAAGAAGUGUCAUACAUAUACAUAUGUAUACAAAAUUUAAAAACUUUUCAAUAUAUAUAUAUAUAUAUAUAUUGAUAAAAACUAUCAACAUGACAAGAUCUAAAUACCCAACAUUUUUCUGAAAAAUUGGACAUAACAUCUAUGAGCUAUUGUCCCUGAAAUUAGUAAAUUUACAAACUUUCACAGUUUUCUGCUACUAUCCGACAACUAUAUCAAUAUAUUAUAAGAAUAAAUUGCAAAAGUGGUCAGAAGAAACUUUUUUUUACAGUCUGAACUUAUUCUGAAUUGUUUAACUUCUAAUUUAAAUUGAUUGCAUUUGAAAUAUGUGUUUUUUUAUCGUUUUAGGUGCACAAUUUGUCAAUACGAUCUAUUUCGGCUCCUGGGAGCCUCUAGAUUUAUAAUGAAUAAUUUGUAUUUAUGUAUGAUUAUUUUCUUCAUGUAUUAAAUGAAACAUUAAUUAUUCUU